rnacentral:rRNA from 1 species
AUGGCAUCCUCCCGUGCCCAUGAGCAUCGUCCACGCAGCCCAAGGGACUGGGCGAACCUGAACGCCGGACCGGUGGGGCUGGUCGCCGAGAACCUCCUGCGCAACGACGUCGUCGACCUCAUCCGCCUCCGCGCUGUGUGCAGGUCGUGGCGCGCGAGCUCCGCCCACCUGCGCGCGCAGGGCGUCCUGGACCGGCGGUUCCACCCCCGGCGGUGGAUCAUGCUCCCAAAAGAAUUCGACAUCCGCGGCCGGCGACGCUUCCUCAAUGUCUUCACCGGCAAGUCCAUCUACCAGGGGCUCCCGUAUGUAGAUCUCCUCAGCGAGUAUGUUCUCACGACCACGUUUGAGGGUCUCAUUCUUCAACUAGGCACCUGCGCCGGCCAGCUCCUUAACCCGCUCACCGGACAGGUCGCGGGGCUUCCAAGUGCGGCCACGCUGCUCUUUGGGCAGACCCUAAGUAAUCUUGAGGUGAGCGGUGUGGGCCUUGCCGACGAUGACACAGUUGUGCUUCAUUUUCGCUCCUUCUAUGUAGCUGUUGCCAAGCCCGGCGACGAACGCUGGACGCAUGUUCAUUCCCAUGACAGGAUCAUGUCAGUCUUGCCGUUCGCAGGCCGCGUCUACUGUGCCACGUCAAAGAACAUCUCGUCGGUACAAACUCAAACCGCGACACUGAACCAACCACCGCGGCUUGUGGUGGCGGCCGACCAUGGACUACACACGGGGUUCCAGUCGCUCGACGAAUUCGAAUACAAAUUGUUCAUGGGGUUUAGCCAGAUUUUCCUAAUGGAAAACAAUGGAGAGUUGAUCAUGUGUCAUCAUGCUCACAGUUGUUCGCCCCAAAUCGUCGGAGAUUGCAAUGUCAGCAUGUAUCGGGUGAACUGGAACGCAAAGAACACGGUGCCCCAACAUGGCCUGGAUGGAAAAGUCUUGUUUCUCGGCAAGAAGAUACUCCUGGUGGUUCCCGGAGUGUCUCCCUCCAUCAGUGCUGACUCCAAAUACCUGUGUUGGUCAAAGCCCAAGCGCAAUUAUGAUGCUACUGAUUAUGCCGUUGAUGUUCUUUUUGGUGGAGGCGCCGAG